GCGCCUGAGCGGCAUAUUCGACGCUAAGGAACGUGAGGAAUCUCCGAAUACCAAACAAAAAUACUCUUCUAUAAGCUUUCCCACCUCCUCACAUUUUAAUCAAGAAUUGUUUUUUUUUUGGUUGGUUUAUAUAGUAUUGAUUCUGGAGAAAGUUUAUAUUGGAAGUCGUACUGAUAAGGAGGGCAUAAGGCUCAGCGCUCCUCUCAAUCAGCCGUUUCAGGUUUGAUUGCUCUGCUGGACGCUACAUACUGAACUGAGAAGAAAAUUGUGAUCUUUGCAGUUUUUUUAUAUGAGCUUUCACAAUGAGAACUUUACACUGAGUUUGUGUAGUUUGUGGGGAUAAAAUGCCAUCUGGGCUGCUUUCGAACCUCAAUGUUGCUUUUGGUUUUGGCUUCCCAAGGGCUGGAAGACUAAAACAAUCUCAACCC